UACGUAGGUGGCAAGCGUUGUCCGGAAUUACUGGGCGUAAAGAGCGCGCAGGCGGCUGGUCAAGUCCGAUGUGAAAGCUUCCGGCUUAACUGGGAAAUUGCAUCGGAAACUGAUCGGCUUGAAGGUGGGAGAGGGUAGUGGAAUUCCCGGUGUAGUGGUGAAAUGCGUAGAUAUCCGGAGGAACACCAGUGGCGAAAGCGGCCACCUGGACUGUACCUGACGCUCAAACGCGAAAGCUAGGGGAGCGAACGGG
rnacentral:rRNA from 1 species